GUGUGCAGGGUCUGUUGCUCUGCCCUAUGCAUUUCACAGGAUUCUGUUUUGGGGUAUGAAAUGUCAUCGGAGUAGAGGGGAUGCUAGUUCCAGUAAUCAACAGGUUCCCUGAAGCUCAACAAAAGAUCUGCAAAUGCCAAAAAAUGAUGGGAUGGGUCAGGGCAAAGUCAAAAUACCACAUGGUCUGUACUGCAAUUACAGGGCAUCAGAGAAGAAGUAUUUGAAGAACAGAGUCAUGGUUGUAUGGGUGAGCUCAGAAAGGACAUUCCAAGAACAAGGGACACAUGGAAGGAAACAUGAGGAUAGUUGUGGGAGAAGUGGACAAAUGGACGGUCAAGGCUGGUAUUAUUGUUAGAGAGGAGGCAGCAGGGGCCUAUGUGAUGAGACAAACACCGCUAAAUUGCACGGGGCACAAUUGUAAAAGGCCUGAAGCAGAUUGAUUGAAGCUGAUGUAUUAAAAGUGAGGAAGCCAGAGGAGGGAUUCACAGAGGUAGGUAACAUGCUGAGGUAGACUGGCAAGGAAGUUGAAUAUAGUAGCUGUAUUUGAGUGGACUGGAGGGAUGAAGUAGGUGUCUGUGACUUUAUCUACAUUACCCUGUAGCAGGGCCAUUUGCUUCUGCCUUUGUUCAAGUCCACAAACACCUCAGAUCUUUUUUGCUGAUAAAAUGCCCCAUGUAGUUUAUUCACAAUAUUAGUUGUCAUGACCCUUAUACUCUAUAUUGCCUUAUGCCUACAGUUCUAGGGAUCCCCCCAGCUCCUGAGGCAAGCAGCAAAGAGUAAGCUCUCUCUACCUCUCUCUUUCUGCUUCCUUCCUGUGCCUUUUGUAUCACCUGCUUAAUGGUUUCAUUAACAUCUCAGUUCUCCUCAGCCUAUCAGUUGGGCACAGUCUUCUUAAUGAGGCCUGCCCUGGAGUAAUUUAAUUAGAGCUGCAGUGACUAGAGUCAUGUCUCUGCGCGGAGUUCCUUUGGACUGCAUCCACUUGGUCCCUGGACACCUUUGAGGAGAAGUGGGCAUUGUCUGGGGUUCUCUGCUCGUUGUCUUCUUCUGGCUCCCUGCUUUUGACACUGUGACCCUCUCUCCAUCUCUGUUUUUCAUUAGUUGUCCCUCGGAAUCACUUCAGAUCUGGGUGUAGUAGCUCCUCCCCUUACAUUGAGGGGAGUGACCUUUAGAUGAUGGCAGGCUUGUGCUCGCCUAUCCCUGGAUUCUCAAUAGGUGCUGUUGCCCAGCACUGUGUCACAUAGCCAUAAAAAAAUACUAGCUCAAAGACAAUACCCAAGUUAUGGACCUGUGUGAUGUGGAGAAUUGGCGGUACUGUCAGCAAUGACAAAGAGAGGAGGAGAAAAGAUAAAGAAUCCCUUACAUAUACAUGGAUCCACAUCUGAAGCUUCUUUUAUAAGUUCUUUCUAAGGUAUGCAUUUUAAUAAUUUAGUCAACAGUCAUAUUUGAUUCAUUUUUCCCAAUAAGUUGCAGAAACUUCCUUAAAUGAAAUUCAAGCAAAGAGGCAAUUAUUUAGGAAGCUAAUUUUCCUACACAAGUGUGCAUAGCACAGACCAUCCUAGGGGGAAUUCAGAGAAGGCAAGUAACUACACUCAGCUGAAAACUCCACAGGUUAUAUAAAAUCAGCACAUUUUCACUGGAGUCCAUUAUAUAUGUUGUGUUACUAUGUGCUUUACAUAUCAUUGACCUUCAUAGACUCCGUCCAGCAUACAUAGAGCAGUAGUACUACACGAUGCUACCUGUGUAUGUAAGUGUAGAAAUAAAGUUUGAUAUUACAUUACAAUAUAGAAUUUGAGAAAUACUAUCUGGUUGACUUUAUAAUAAUUCAUAGACAUAAGGGAGCAGAGUGAAAGUUGAAAAUCCAGCCUUAAAUUUGGUAUUUCCUGACUUGAGUGCUUAACUGUUCAACUUUAAUAUCUUCUUAACAUUUUUUGGUAUGGAAUACUAUGUACAUUGAGCAUGUCUUUAAUGAUAGCAUAAAA